GAUGAACGCUGGCGGCGUGCCUAAUACAUGCAAGUAGAACGCUGAAGGAGGAGCUUGCUCUUCUGGAUGAGUUGCGAACGGGUGAGUAACGCGUAGGUAACCUGCCUGGUAGCGGGGGAUAACUAUUGGAAACGAUAGCUAAUACCGCAUGACAACAGUUAUUGCAUGAUAACUGUUUAAAAGGGGCAACUGCUCCACUACCAGAUGGACCUGCGUUGUAUUAGCUAGUUGGUGAGGUAACGGCUCACCAAGGCGACGAUACAUAGCCGACCUGAGAGGGUGAUCGGCCACACUGGGACUGAGACACGGCCCAGACUCCUACGGGAUGCAGCAGUAGGGAAUCUUCGGCAAUGGACGGAAGUCUGACCGAGCAACGCCGCGUGAGUGAAGAAGGUUUUCGGAUCGUAAAGCUCUGUUGUAAGAGAAGAACGAGUGUGAGAGUGGAAAGUUCACACUGUGACGGUAUCUUACCAGAAAGGGACGGCUAACUACGUG
rnacentral:rRNA from 1 species